GAGUUUGAUCCUGGCUCAGGACGAACGCUGGCGGCGUGCCUAACACAUGCAAGUCGAACGGAGAUAUUCGCUGAUGAAGUACUUCGGUAAUGAUUCUUGAAUAUCUUAGUGGCGGACGGGUGAGUAACGCGUGAGCAACCUGCCUUUCAGAGGGGGAUAACGUUCGGAAACGAACGCUAAUACCGCAUGACAUUGUUGAGUCGCAUGACAUGACAAUCAAAGGAGCAAUCCGCUGAAAGAUGGGCUCGCGUCCGAUUAGGUAGUUGGUGGGGCAACGGCCCACCAAGCCGACGAUCGGUAGCCGGACUGAGAGGUUGAACGGCCACAUUGGGACUGAGACACGGCCCAGACUCCUACGGGAGGCAGCAGUGAGGGAUAUUGGUCAAUGGGGGAAACCCUGAACCAGCAACGCCGCGUGAGGGAAGACGGUUGUAGGAUUGUAAACCUCUUCCUCUGUG
rnacentral:rRNA from 1 species